GCGGCGCCCCCUGCCGGCCGCGGAGGGCGCGCCUUGGAGGGAGAGGACUUUAGGUGACGCCGCCAGGAGGCGAAAUUUCACCUGCCAGCAGCUCUGGAGGUCAAAAGAAAUGAGACUGCUGGGCUAAGAUCAAGGUGUCAGCAGGGCUGUAUUCCUUCCCAAGGCUCCAGGGGAGAAUCUGUUCACUUGCCUUUCCCAGCUUCUAGAGGUUGCCUACAUUCCUUGGCUUGCGGACCCUUCCUCCAUCUCCAGAAUCAGUAACGAAAGAUCCAAAGCCAUAUCCUGGCUGAGUUGGCUGAGUUGGCUGAGUUGAGCAGGACACUGACAAGGAGGCUGCUGAGCCUGCAACUCGACUGUUCUGUUUGAGGAGCUCUGUGCUUUAUCAUAGAAAUGGAUCUGAGAUGUGGUCUCCCUAUGCUGCCCAGGCUCGUCUCAAACUCCUGGGCUCAAGCAUUCCUCCCACCUUGGCCUCCUAAAGUGCUGGGAUUAUAGGCGUGAACCACUGUGCCUGGCCUCAUGAUAUAACUUCUUAAUGUUAGUUUUUCCUUAAAGAGGGACUGCUUGC
rnacentral:antisense_RNA from 1 species